AUUGAACGCUGGCGGCAGGCCUAACACAUGCAAGUCGAGCGAGCGGCGGACGGGUGAGUAAUGUCUGGGAAACAGCCUGAUGGGGGGGGAUAAAAACUGGAGACGGUAGCUAAUACCCCAUAUCAUCUGAUGUGCCCAGAGGGGAGUAGCUAGUAGGUGGGGUAACGGCGCACCAAGGCGACGCUCCCUAGCUGGUCUGAGAGGAUGACCAGCCACAUGGGAACUGAGACACGGUCCAGACUCCUACGGGAGGCAGCAGUGGGGAAUAUGGCAAAAUGGGCGCAAGCCUGAUGCAGCCAUGCCGCGUGUGUGAAGAAGGCCUUCGGGUUGUAAAGUACUUUCAGCGGGGAGGCGUUACCCGCAGAAGAAGCACCGGCUAACGCCGUGCCAGCAGCCGCGGUAAUAC
rnacentral:rRNA from 1 species